GAUGAACGCUGGCGGCGUGCCUAAUACAUGCAAGUCGAGCGAACGGACGAGAAGCUUGCUUCUCUGAUGUUAGCGGCGGACGGGUGAGUAACACGUGGAUAACCUACCUAUAAGACUGGGAUAACUUCGGGAGACCGGAGCUAAUACCGGAUAAUAUUUUGAACCGCACGGUUCAAAAGUGAAAGACGGUCUUGCUGUCACUUAUAGAUGGAUCCGCGCUGCAUUAGCUAGUUGGUAAGGUAACGGCUUACCAAGGCAACGAUGCAUAGCCGACCUGAGAGGGUGAUCGGCCACCCGGGAACUGAGACACGGUCCAGACUCCUACGGGAGGCAGCAGUAGGGAAUCUUCCGCAAUGGGGGAAAGCCUGACGGAGCAACGCCGCGUGAGUGAUGAAGGUCUUCGGAUCGUAAAACUCUGUUAUUAGGGAAGAACAUAUGUGUAAGUAAAUGUGCACAUCUUGACGGUACCUAAUCAGAAAGCCACGGCUAACUACGUG
rnacentral:rRNA from 1 species